GCCAUGUACCGGGCGGUGAGAGGGGGAAUGCGGGGGGUGCGGGCGUUGUUGGGGGUGGUGGGGGGUGAAGGGUGCGUGGGAGGUGUGUCGGGGCGGGGGGGAAAGCGGGUGGGGGAACGGGGGGCUGGGUGUCGAGAGGGGCAGACUGGAGGUAUGUAGGGGAGAACGGAAUUCCUGGUGUAGCGGGGAAAUGCGCAGAUAUCAGGAGGAACAGCGGUGGCGAAGGCGGUUCUCUGGGCAUGUCCUGACGCUGAGGAGCGAAAGUGUGGGGAGCGAACAGGAUUAGAUACCCUGGUAGUC
rnacentral:rRNA from 1 species